rnacentral:rRNA from 1 species
UUGCUUUUAUGGGUGAAACCCCGAACGGUGUACAAGAACAAAAUCAGGCAGUUGGAGAGCCAGUGAGUCAGGUCCCUCACCCAAAGAACGGUUAGAGUUUGAGACGCCUGUAAUUCAAUGGUGAAGGCCGUAAUAAAAAAUGGAACCACCUUGUUUAAAUCUUACCAGCGAAAAUAAAAACAGCGCCCAUAUUUCCACAGAGCUGUAGUUAGUGAUAGGUCAUGGGGGGGUAAGUCGCCCAUCAGUUAAAUGCCUAUAAUGGUGAAACCGCGAACUAGGUUUUAGCGACUGAAACGGUCUCCCCACUUACACUUAACACUUUAUUGAUGCAACGAUAUGGGCCUAUAAUGGGAAACCGCGAACGGCUCAUUACAACAGCUAUUAUAUACUUGAUCUUGAUAUCGUACGUGGAUAACUGUGGUAAUUCUAGAGCUAAUACAUGCACCAAAGCUCCGAAUUUUUGACGAGCGCAUUAUUAGAUUAAAACCAAUCGGGUUUCGGCCCGUUGUUGGGACUCGGACGGC